AUGAAAAUCAGGAGGAACAGGGCAUCCGCACACAGCGGCGUUAGCAACAGCGAAGGCUAACUUAAUUAAGGAGCUGCUUUGAGGCAUCGGGCAGGAAGUGAAACAGCUUUCAAUGGCAAACAUUUCUCAACCAUUCAGUGGACAAGUAGUCCUGGCAUGCUUACCCCCAUUGUCCCCUUAAAGGAAGAGUGCACACACAGCUAAGACAGGUCUGAGAAAUGAAAGUCAAGAAGGGAGAAGAAGUUGGAUCCUGAGGUGCCUCGAGGACAAGGAAGUGGCUUUGUUGGCAAAGGACUCAGUUCAUGAGGACAUAUCUGCUCCACCGGUACUCAAUAUGUGCUAAGUGGGUAGCACAGAGUUUUCCAUGUGCACCCAGGUCUUCGCAGUUCCUGCAGCAUCUUUUACUCUUUGAUGACGUAACAAUGACAGCUGCUCACGUCCAGCUUCCCUGACAAAAAUCAAAGGUCGAUGUCCUGGCUGGUUUAUGUCAACUUGAUACACGCUAGAAUCAUCUGAAAGGAGGGAACCUCAACUGAGAAAAAUGCCUCCAUAAGAUCCAGGUGAGCCACAUGCUGUUGCUAGACAGAGCUGAGUGACUCCAAGAUGGCACAGUCUCAUUGCAGCAAGGGCCAAAAGCAAUUGAGAACUGGCCCAAAGUCACGGCUCCUUAUUUCUGAGUGCUGCAGGAGAUCACUGGUGAAUUUGGUGUGCCGGAUGCCUGUGUGCCUGCAGGGAUGACCAGACAUCUGCACCUGGGAGGAGAUUCCGACAGAGAAGAGGUACACAUGCCAUGUAGUGAGCCAGACAAAAGUCUGGGACUCACUGUGGCUUUUAAGAAGUCCAUUUGUAGGAAUGGUCUAGUCAAUGGUUCUUGCUGUCAAAGCGCUGUCUGGUUCGG